rnacentral:lncRNA from 1 species
UUCUUGCCUGGAAAAGUCCUCGGACCGAGGAGCCUGGCUGGCUACAGUCCAUGGGACGGCACAGAGCUGGGCACAACUGCACAACCAACUUUACUACUGCCAGAGAACUUCACCCCACAGGCCACGACUGAAACCUGGCACAAUCAAAUAAAUAGUGAACAUAAAAUAAAGUGGCCCGCAGAGCCAAGCAGGCAUAUCUCGGAAGAAAACAGCACAGAUGACCAACAAGCACGUGGGAAGACGCUUGACGUCACUGACUGCCAAAGAAAGGCAACCCUAAACUGCAGUGAGGGGCUGCUUCACACCCGUCAGGACAGCGCUCCCUGCCGGUCACGAGAAAGUCUGCAAGCGAUAAAUGCUGGGGAGGCGGAGGCAAGGGGCCCUCCUCCACUGCCGGUGGCAAUGUGAGGUGGUGCAGUCACUAUGGAGAACAGGAUGGGGGCUUCUCAAGAAGACAAAACCAGAACUAGAAUGCGACCCAGUGAUCCCACUCCCACGAUACGACCCAGCGAUCCGACUCCCACGAUACGACCCAGCGANCCGACUCCCACGAUACGACCCAGCGAUCCGACUCGCACGAUACGACCCAGUGAUCCGACUCCCACGAUAUGACCCGGCGACCCCACUCCUGAGCAUGUAUCUGAAAAGAUGAAAAUCUAAUUCAAGAAGACACACGCACCCUAGUGUUCACUGCAGCUCUAUUUACAACAGCCAAGAAAUGGAAGCAACUGAAUGUCCACGGGCAGAUGGAUGGACACAGAGAUGUGGAACACAGGCACGACGGGGCGUCCGUGGAGUGUAAGAAAGAAUGAAGAGACGCCGUUUGUGGCAGCACGGAUGGGCCUAGGGAUCACCAUCCCAAGUGAAGUAAGCCGGACAGAUGAAGACAGAGAUCACAUGACGUGACUGAUAUGUGGAGUCAGAAAAAGGGUACACAAGGGCUUAUCUAUGAAGCAGACACAGACUCACAGACAGAGAACAAGCUUGUGGCUACCGAAGGGGAGGGGAUGAAAUGGGAGCUCGGGAUUACCAUACGCACACUGCUAGCAUAUGAACAGGUGAUCAACAAGGACCUACUGUACAGAGCUCAGGGAGCCCCACUCUGCACUGCAUCAUAAUCUAAAUGGGAAAAGCAUCUGGAAAAGA